GAAAAUCCCUGGAUUUUACUACAUACGCUCUAGUUAACUCAUUCUCAGGAAUAGGUAGUUAAAUACCCGCAAGGGGGCGAGCGAGAGAUUAAAAGAAGGAGAAAUGGCUGGGGUUCUUGUUUAUGUUCUCAUUUUUCUUCUUAGCCUGCUCUCGUAUAUCACCAAAAGAAGAGGCAAGAAAGAACUCUAUAAAGGAGUUAAGCUUACUCCAGGUUCAAUGGGUUGGCCUUACAUUGGAGAGACUCUUCAACUCUACUCUCAAGACCCAAAUGUAUUCUUUGCAGAGAAACAGAAGAGGUAUGGAGAAAUCUUCAAGACCCAUAUUCUUGGUUGCCCUUGUGUCAUGUUGGCCAGCGCUGAGGCAGCUCGGUUUGUGUUAACCCAGGCUCACUUGUUCAAGCCAACGUAUCCCAAAUGCAAGGAACAUCUAAUCGGCCCAUCAGCUCUCUUUUUCCACCAAGGAGAUUACCAUAUGCGUCUAAGGAAGCUGGUUCAGGGCUCCUUGUCUUUGGAUGCACUUCGAAACUUGGUUGUUGAUAUUUCAGCCAUAGCAGCCUCCACCUUAGACUCAUGGAAUGGCGGGCAUGUUAUUGAUACAUUUCAGGAAAUGAAAAAGUUUUCUUUCGAGGUUGGUAUUCUGGCAAUUUUUGGGCAUUUGGAGUCCCAUUAUAGAGAAGAAUUAAAAAAGAACUACAGGAUAGUGGAUAAAGGCUACAAUUCCUUUCCAACAAGCAUUCCGGGAACUUCUUACAAAAAGGCACUGACGGCAAGAAAGACGCUGAGCAAGAUUCUCAGUGACAUUAUCAGCGAAAGAAAGGAGAAGAGAUUACUAGAAAAGGAUCUUCUGGGUUGUCUGCUGAACUCAAAGGAUGAUAAAGGACAGGUCCUAACCGAUGACCAAAUUGCCGAUAACAUUAUCGGAGUGCUUUUUGCAGCUCAGGACACCACGGCCAGUGCCUUGACAUGGAUUGUCAAAUACCUCCAUGACAACCCGAAACUUCUAGAGGCUGUAAAGACUGAACAGAAGGCAAUUUAUAAAAUGAAUGAUGAAGGUAAUCAGCCAUUGAGUUGGAGUCAAACUAGAAACAUGCCCUUAACUCAGAAGGUUGUUUUAGAGAGCCUAAGAAUGGCAAGCAUUAUAUCUUUUACCUUUAGAGAAGCAGUGGCUGAUGUGGAAUACAAGGGUAAGAUGAAUAGGUCUAAUUUAGCUUUUUCUUUUCUUUAUUUUUUUGUCUCGUAUUAUAAUCUUGCUUAUCUCAGCUCUAAAGUAAUUCAAAAACUAAAAUUUACUAUUAGAAAUCUCAAGUUGAAUGUUCAAAUCAAAUGGGAUGGUAAAUUGAGCUGCUUUGAUCCUGUAGACCAUAGAUAUUCCUGCUCAUGAGAUGAUCAAAUUGAAUCCUGUUGGACCUUGCUGCCAUUCUUUAAACAUUGAUCGUAGAAAUUGUCAAUUAAAAAGUGACUUACAAUGACGUAUUUGACAGGGUACCUGAUUCCCAAAGGUUGGAAGGUGAUGCCUUUGUUCAGGAACAUUCAUCACAAUCCAGAAUAUUUUAGUGAUCCUGAAAAAUUUGAUCCCUCAAGAUUUGAGGUAUAGAUAAACAUUCAUAUUUUCCUUAUCUUCUUGGCCAAUUAGAUCUCGUAAAAUUCAGACAUAUUUGGUAUGGGCCUGAUUAGCUAAUAAUUUUAUCUGCUUUUAGAUCCUCUUUCAUCCCCUUUUCAUCUAAUUUUUGCAGGUUGCGCCAAAACCCAAUACAUUUAUGCCAUUUGGGAGUGGAGUUCAUGCUUGCCCUGGAAAUGAGCUUUCGAAGCUGGAGAUGCUUGUCAUCAUCCACCAACUGGUCUCCAAGUUCAGGUAUUGUUGAAAUUCAUAAUAUUAUGGUAGCAUGUAAUAUCUGCAGAAUGUGAUCAAAUGGUUUGGGAUCAAUCAAUCAAUGGUCAGAAAAUAGCCUAUUUUAAAAGCAAAUAUAAAGGAAAAUUUAAUUAAAAUAAAAUAACAGAUUAUUGGUUUGGUGCAGUUAGAACGAGAAUUUCUUUGAUUGCUAAAUGGACAAAAAAUGACAAGGGCUUUUUAUAUUUUGCUUGCAGGUGGGAAGUGGUAGGAUCUCAAAAUGGGAUUCAGUAUGGCCCAUUUCCAGUGCCAUUGCAUGGACUUCCAGCCAGAUUUUGGAAGGAAUCCACCAUUUAGCAAGGAUACUCAAGAUAAUAAGCAGAGAUACGCCAUGCCAUAUCACCUCCUUUUAACAAAUAUAAUUGUAUUUCUUUUCUGCUAAGCAUUUUUCAUUUUAGCUCCUUGAGGCCAAGCCAUCCCCAUUCAAAACUCACAUGGGGAUGCCAAGAUUUUUAUUUUUUCUCUUUGUACCCUCCAUUUUUAUCUUAUCCCAUCACGAUUCAACCCCUUCUUUAUUUUGUAUCAUUGAUCUAUGAUAUGUAAUAAUUUCAAAGGAUUCUAAUGCAGCAAGAAUUAAUCAAUAUAUUGCAUCUCACCGUUCUUUCUUUUUUUGGAUGGAUUGCAACCCAUACUUCACAUUUAUUUUUGGUUAACACCACGUGUCUGUCAAAGAGGAGAAACUAUCUGGGGGCUUGUCAGAGGCUGAAGAAAGCCAGAUGUUAUAUUGUGAUUGGACUAGUUGAAAAGGGGUGGUCUCUUCUCUGGCUGGAGGGCACCUCUGAAGAGCACAAAGAUUGCCAGCUUCUAAUGCUACAAUUCUGCUGCUUCCAAUGGACCCUACAAAAGAUGUGGCUACUAGGGAUCGAUGACAUUACCUAGGGAUGUACACAGUUAUUUGGAUCGUCAACUAAUCGCAUAAUCUUAUCAAAUUG
rnacentral:misc_RNA from 1 species